rnacentral:rRNA from 1 species
AUGGACGGAUCCACCCUCAAUCGCCUCGGCACCAUGGCGGCGUUCUUCCUCAUGCUUGUCCUCGCCGCCAGCAACAGCAAGCACGGACACGCAGGAGCCGUUGCUGCGGGCAAUCCCGUCGUCGUCCGGGGACGGCUAACCGGCCGCGGCCCGAAUGACAAGACCACCGUUGCCGUGCAGAGACACGACGUCUCCUUGGCCGGCUUCACCGAUGGCACCGGCCAUUGGCACGCCUUUCCUGGCCUUGAGCAUCUCUUCCCCACAUCUACAACCCUCCCGUUCGGUAGCAGCUACAGCGACCUCAUCGACGGCCUCGCGAACCUGCCGGGCGUGCCGCUGGGGCGGUAGGCCAUGCUGGAGGCCAUCCGCGUGCUCGCCGCCUACCGCCCCGGGGCUGACGUGGAGCCGGUCAAGCAGGCGCUGGCGGUGAUGAAGGUUGUGAUGUGCGAGGCCCAGCGGCUGAAGCCCAUCAGGGAGACCGUCAGCAGCGGAUGGGACAGCGAGUCCCGCGUCGCCCCCGAGCAUCUGCCCUACAUCAAGCACUGGGACACCAUGUCCUACGAGAUCAUCCGCGCCAACCGCACGGGCAAAUGGGAAGACGGGCCCUUCACCAAGUUGCUGGAGACCCAGGCCAACAUCCGCAGCAAGGAGGAGGCGGUGGCGGUGAUGAACAUGCUGAUGGAUGCAGACUUCGAGCAUGUGCUCAAGGCUCACGCCAUCCCGAUCAACUUAGAGUAA